GGGGUUAUAGCUCAGUGUUAGAGCCCAUGCUUAGCAUGCAUUGAGGUCACGGGUUCGAUCCCGAGUACCUCUG
rnacentral:tRNA from 1 species